CUUAAAAAUAACAAAUGUUUAUUUUGAUUUUGUGUACACCAUUCAUUUAGUAUUUAUUUUAUAACAUAUUGUAAUACUUAUAAACUAGUUUUGAGUUAUGUUUGGAAUUGAAUCAGCGCUGAGCAGCUAAGCAAUGGCGAUUAAUCCUAAAAAGUAUCUUAUAAAAGAUCUCUUGAAUAAGCCUCCACCUCUUGAUGUCUGGCUACAAGGAACUAUUGAGCAGACUGUGGGAAAUGAUAUUUUAAUAAUUUCAGAUUCAUCCGGCAGAGCUAAAAUUGUUAAAUGUGAAUCUGCUCACGGUGUAAUUGAUACAAAAUCAUUAAACAAAGGGAAUUACUGUUGCAUUCUUGGUGUAGCAGUAAAAACCAAAGGUUUACCUGAAGUUCAAGCCACCAAGUUUGUAGAUUUAGGUUCUCAACCUCAAAUGAAAAGUGCUUGGGAAUAUGAAGUCAGAGAAACCGAACUUGUGUGUGGGAGUAAAAUAAAAACAUUAUUAUAAAAAACAGUAAAUAAAUAUAUUUAUUCCACCACCUAGUUGGAAUGAUUUGAAUUCAACAUUAUAUAAAAUUGGAAUAUCAUUAUUUAUAACAUUUUAACACUGGCAAAAUAUACAUUAGGUACAUAACUAUAAUCCCAAGUUUAAAUUAAAUUGUUUCUCUUAAAUUUACAAUUUCGCGUCACUCUUCAGUAAUGGUCCCAGCUUUUGUGCGAGCAUUAUGUUUCCAGAGAUUUUUAGCUUUCCUUUCAGGUAUGCUACUUGUGGCCCUAAAGUGCCAGCAGCUAUAUCCAUCAUAUCAUCAUCAGAUACUGUUAAUGUGGUGUCUGCUUUACCAUUCUUUGGCUCUCCUUCAUACACACUCAAUGAUGACUUCAAAUCCAAAGCUAAAAAUAAAACAAAUGUGUUUUCAUUUUUAUCAUCAUAAUUAUAAAAUAAAUAGUGGUUAGUGACCUUUACCAGGGAUAGAAGUCUAAGCUAGUGUAACUAUGGUACUUCUGAUUAAUGUAGUUUUAUAAUAAUUAUGUAUUAUUUAUACAUAUUCUAAAAAUGUAUAAAAUAUUGAACACUAUUGUGUUCUAGGCAUCCUCAGUAGGUGUUGACCUGCCAAAUUCUGGCACAAAGCUAGUUUUAAAUUAUGAAUGCUGGUGAGUUGAAGUCAAAGUUAAAACAAAUGUGUCUGACACAAUUUUUAAUACAGACUGAAUAGGAAAUUCUGUAGAUGCAAUCGGGAGGUGAGUUAUAUUGAAAAGUUUAUGUUUGUGUUACGAUAGCAGGGGCGUAGCUACCGCCGUAUCUGUCGAAUCAAUUAAACGGGGCCUUUGACGUGCGUAAGCAAAAAUUCAUAAAAACUUUUGCUGCAUGCUGAAAAAGAGGCAAGGAGAUUGUAUAUUUAAUUUGAAUUGUUUGUAAAAAUUUAUAAAAAGUGACAGAUAAUAAUUAUGAUGAAUAAAUAUUUCAUUUAAUUUAA